UGCAAGGUUACCUAAAGAUCAACAGUUUGAAGGUUGUCCAUAAGUCACAAAUAAAUUCUUACCAAAAAAUAUGCAAGAUUAUCAAAGUUGAUAGGUCCAAGGGUUCUCUAUAAGCCGCGUCAUAUCCAAGAUCAAUUAUGUGCAAGAUUACCUAAAGAUCACCGAUUUGAGAGAUAUCUGUAAGCCAUAUUAUAUCCAAGGUUGGAUAAUAUGCAGGAUUACUCAAAUGAUAUCUGUAAGCC
rnacentral:lncRNA from 1 species